CAGUCGCCGCGGUAAUACGAAGGGUGCAAGCGUUAAUCGGAAUUACUGGGCGUAAAGCGUGCGUAGGCGGUGAGUUAAGUCUGCUGUGAAAUCCCCGGGCUCAACCUGGGAACUGCAUUUGUGACUGGCAAGCUAGAGUGUGGCAGAGGGGGGUGGAAUUCCGCGUGUAGCAGUGAAAUGCGUAGAUAUGCAGAGGAACACCGAUGGCGAAGGCAGCUCCCUGGGCCAACACUGACGCUCAUGCACGAAAGCGUGGGGAGCAAACAGGAUUAGAGACCCCCGUAGUCCCUGUCUCUUAUAC
rnacentral:rRNA from 1 species